CCAGCUCCAGACACGCAUUGAGACUGCCCUGGCAGGCAGCCCCUGCCUGGGCCACAAUAAGCUCAGCCGGGAGCCCAGCUUCAUUGUGGUGCAUUAUGCGGGGCCUGUGCGGUACCACACAGCAGGCCUGGUGGAGAAGAACAAGGACCCUAUCCCACCUGAGCUGACCAGGCUCCUGCAGCAAUCCCAGGACCCCCUGCUCAUGGGGCUGUUUCCUACUAACCCCAAAGAGAAGACCCAGGAGGAACCCUCUGGCCAGAGCAGGGCCCCUGUGUUGACCGUGGUAUCCAAGUUCAAGGCCUCGCUGGAGCAGCUUCUGCAGGUCCUACACAGCACCACGCCCCACUACAUUCGCUGCAUCAAGCCCAACAGCCAGGGCCAGGCGCAGACCUUCCUCCAAGAGGAGGUAAUUAACACCGGGCCAAAGCUGCUUUGCACCAAGCCCCAUCUGGCCAAGGCCCUGGAGAGAUGAAGGGCAGGACAUCUGUUCCAAAUGGAGUGAACAGAGGUGGUCUCUCCGGCCAGGCGUGACAUGAGAGAGGACCCAU
rnacentral:sRNA from 1 species